UCUCCUGCUUGAGCAGGAGGUUGGACUAAAAGACUUCCAAGGUCCCUCCCAAUUCUAUUAUUUUCUAUUCUAUUCUAUAAUAUUUUUAAAGAUCUCAUCACAUAUUGCAAUUUAUUAAUACCAAUGGCAUAAAGCCCGUUUAACUGAAAACAACACUUAAAAAGAGAUGCCUUUAGCAUAGAGAACAUAGUUGUUCACAUAUUUAACAGUUCAACUAUAUUAUGAGGAAAGCAUGUUGGGUAUAUUUGUCUGGGACUUUUGACACAAACAGGCCUCAUCCAAGGAAGGGUACACUCCAGAUUAAUAAUCAAUUGUGCUAGCUGUGCAUUGCAAUGCUGCCCUGUCCCCAUGAGCUGCCUCAAUCAAUGGGGAAAAUCACAACACAGACUACACUGGGAAGGAAAUAAGGCCCUGUUGUUAUAAAGAAAGAUAAGUACAUAGUUAGCCAAUCUUGGCUGAGGUCUACCUCCUCGCACCUAGAAUAAAUUAAGCAGUAUUAAUUAGGACUUGGGUGGGAGACUACUAGGCAAUCGCUGGGACUGUAAAGCAGAUUGGAACAUUUUAAAAAAAUGUUAAACUCAUGAAGAAGUUAAUGACAAACUGCUUCCUUACUGCUGCCUAGAAAAUUACAUAGACAAUUCAUGAAGACAUCAGGAGAUGAAUUCAAUUGGAGACUUCAUCUUUAUCUAAAAAUACUUCAGAUGAUAGUUUUUGGAUAAUGCCUUACCAGUCAAAUAAAAUAAACCCAUGCUUUCUCAGUAUUAAUCCCCAUUUAGUUCAGUGGAAUGUAUUCUCAAAUCAGUAGCUGUAAGACUGCAGCGUUAAUGUUUCAUAAGUACAAUUGAUAUAGUCUUCCACAUACUAACCUUAAUGCUCCCUUACACCAAUCGAAUGCUCCUGAACAUUCUUUUAGACUCUUAUUUUUAUAUAUGCUUUCUUUUUAAUAUAUCUUCUAGUUUUUCAUGAUUUUUUUUAUCUAUUUUCUAUGCUUUUUAAUUGAAUGUAAGACCAUACUCCUUAUGCCAGUAUAUGGUCAGGUGGGAUUAUGCUUCUUGGAUAGAUUGGACAUGAUUGGCCUUGCAUUGGUUCUGUCAUGUUCUUAAAUGCUACAUUUACAUUGAUAGAACUUAUGGACCAAAAGGAAUUUUUAUGGUUGAUUUAGGAAAUAAAAUGAAUUUUCCCCAUACAUUUAUACCAGUUGCCUUUAUAUUUCUCUCCCUCUCUUUGUAGUUGGUGCUCUGCAGAUUGCAAUGGGAAUGAGAACAGUGGCGAUAAAGAACACAUGAUCUGCUCCCUUCCAAACUACUAAGAUGAAAAAGAGAACAACAAAGAAGCAUAUGACUUAAGGAGUCCCCAGAGCCACAUGGAUAUAAGCACUGCUGAAAAGAGAUAUUUAUAUACUGUCCCCACACCUGCGGAGUACAUCCAGACUGGCCAAGCUGAAAGCACAAUGAAAUUUCAGAAUUAGAAUUGAAGAUAAGACAGUUCCACAGGCCCAUUUGAAAAGAAUCCAUAAACUGUGUAGUUGAAUACUAGGCUUAAAGUGGUUUGAAAAUCAAUAUCCCAGACUAUCUCUAUCCAUAGAACAGCCUUCUUGAUGCAUCUUGGAACUGCACAGGGAAUAUGCUAGUAUAGCAGGAGAAGAUUCUGGCCAUUUCCUGAAAGGUGCAUCAGAACAAAACAAAUAAAAAGUCAUAAGGUCCUUUGGAAUAAGUCUAAAAAUGGCACUGUGGGUCAUCAGCAUAGAUGUAUUUCCUGCAGAAUUAUCUCAAUAUUGAAAGAAAUGAUGGCCUUUGCCCCAAACCAGAAACGUGAAAUAGUGCAACAAUCUACCUAAAGUCCCAGCAGACUAGGGGAUUACUGGGAGAUGAAGGCUUUGUCAUUGUGAUAGUUGUUUGGAGGCCAGUUCAGGUCAGAACUGAUCAAGACUGAUAUAAACCCUCAUUACAAACCAGAAGACCCUUGGAGGAAGAGCUGGAGGUGAGCCAGGCUUUCCUUCCCACUUCUGUCUUAAUGCUGUACAGGCUAGAUUUCAGUUAUAGUCCUACUCUGCAAAACAUAAAAAUAGGAAUGUGAGUGUGGCAUAUUGAUAUAGAGAGGCUUCAGUUGCAGUCUAAAUACAGUACAUACAUUACAGAAUGCAACAUUUCUGGAAAUAUUACGUUGGGGCUCAGAGAUGGACUAUCUGAUCAUAAGCAGGAAGUGAUUUGUUUAUUUAUUACUGAAUAUAUACUCUGCCUUUUUAUUCCAACAAUAACAAAUAAAUAAAUGAAAACAAGCAUAUUGCAAUGGUUGUGAUUCAGCCAGCUCAGGAAGGGACAUGGUG